CCUACGGGAGGCAGCAGUAGGGAAUAUUGGACAAUGAGCGCAAGCUUGNUCCAGCCAUACCGCGUGUGUGAAGAAGGCUUUCGGGUUGUAAAGCACUUUAAGCAGGGAGAAAAAGUUAUAGGCUAAUACCCUAUGACCGUGAUGUUACCUGCAGAAUAAGCACCGGCUAAUUCCGUGCCAGCAGCCGCGGUAAUACGGAAGGUGCAAGCGUUAAUCGGAAUUACUGGGCGUAAAGCGCGCGUAGGUGGUUUGUUAAGUUGGAUGUGAAAGCCCUGGGCUCAACCUAGGAACUGCAUCCAAAACUAACUCACUAGAGUACGAUAGAGGGAGGUAGAAUUCAUAGUGUAGCGGUGGAAUGCGUAGAUAUUAUGAAGAAUACCAGUGGCGAAGGCGGCCUCCUGGAUCUGUACUGACACUGAGGUGCGAAAGCGUGGGUAGCGAACAGGAUUAGAUACCCUGGUAGCCCACGCCGUAAACGAUGACAACUAGCUGUUGGGAGACAAUGUCUUUCAGUGGCGCAGCUAACGUUUUAAGUUGUCCGCCUGGGGAGUACGGCCGCAAGGCUAAAACUCAAAUGAAUUGACGG
rnacentral:rRNA from 1 species